rnacentral:lncRNA from 1 species
GGGGAGUCGGCCUCUUCCAGCCUCUGGGGCCGGCGAUGUCCCUUGACUUGUGGCCGGUCUCUCCCACUGUCUUCACGCCUCCUGCUCUGUGCGUGUGUGUCUUUCUUCUCUCUGUCCCUCUGCCUCUCUCUUCUAGGACAUUCGGGAUGACAUUUAGGGCCCACCUGGACAACUCAGAAUAAGCUCCUCCUCUCAAGGUCCUUAGCUUCAUCUCACCUGCAUAUAAGGUAACACUCCCAGGUCUGGGGAUUUGAUGUGGACAACUUUUAGGGUACCAGAGGGGCAGGCCAGCGUUCCUGCCUUAGUCGAUCCUGCGAGGAGAGGGGAGGCUGGAGAUAGUCAACGGGGGAGAACAGGUAUCUCCGACUUAUUUAGUCAUUGUAUUAGCUUGGGCUGCUCUGACAAAAUAUCAUAGACUCAGUGGCUUAGACAACGGAAAUUCAUUUCUGACGGUUCUGAAGGCUGCAGCCCCGAGAGCAGGGUGCCAGCGUAGUUGGUUUCUGGCGAGAGCUCUCUUCCUGGCUGGUAGACAGCCACCUUGCUGCUAGGUCCCUUUCGACACAGCCUUUCUUCUGUUUGCACUUGGGCAGGUGGGGCGAUGGAGAGCGAGGCUCUCCAGUGUCUUUUCCUUUAAGGUACUAGUCCUAUCAGAUCAGGGCCAUCUUAUGACUUCAUUUCUUACUUCCUUAGAGCCCCAUCUCCAAAAUCAGCCUGACUGGGAGUUAGGGCUUCAACCCAGGCGUUUUAGGGAGGUACUCAUUCAGUCCAUCGCACACACUCUUGCUGUGUUUCAUUGAAGCAUCUCAACGAUAUUGUCAGGGAGAGAUUGGUGUUUCUGUAUGAUGGGGUGGGGGGUGGAACUGAGGUUCAUGGAUCAAGCACCUCACCCAGCUGGGCGUCAGAGUCAGGAAUCAAAGCCAGGAGGGGCUGGCUCUGAAGUCCAUGCUGAUUCCACUGCCCUACGCUGCCCCGGAAGCUCUAGAGCUGAGGCUCUGGCUCUCCCCUGCAUAUGCUGCUGUCUCCACCACCGCCCGCCCCCUGCCUUCCACUGAAGGGCAGCCUCAGCGUUCACAGCCUCUUUACAGCAGCAUCCGGUCUUCAGCCCUCAAGAACCCCAGAUACACUCAUGGCUCUCAGAUGAGGAGCCUGCAGGCUGAAAACUUACGUAAUUUGCCCGAGGUUACAAAAUGAACACGUCAGGGAGCCAAGAUUCCAGCUCUGAUAAUUCCUGUGGGUGUCCUUAACCACUUCGCACUCCUCGGGCCACUGGUGGAGAGGACACCAAGAAAAGGCUUAGGGGUGACCUGACCCAGAACUGGGUUCUGUGCAACUGAAGCGGGGGAAGGGGCCAAGGGGCUGGCAAGGUUGGGGAAAGACUUACGGGGAUGGUAGGGCGGCUGUGGCUUGGAGGGCCUGAGAGUCAGGGAAGAGGCGACCCUGACAGAACAGAUGAUAACCUCACAGAACAGAUGCCUCUGAAGCAAGAGAGUGAGAGGUGUCUGUGGUCACCCUGGGGACACGGGAGUCGAAGAUCCCAGCGCCAGAGCAGGUCGGGGCGACGAUGAGGUCUAGGUGUGGCCGUGGGAGUAAAGCCAUUGAACAAAAGGGGAGUGACUGGGGUUGGGUGGGGGGGAGAUUGCCAGUAGACCCCACUAGGUCAAGAAGCCUGGAGGACAGAGCGCAUACCAGGGCCUGAGAGAGAGACGGCCCUUUCUGCUUAUCAUGAAAUCAGCGAAACCUGAGCUGGCUCUUGAAAAAUGGACAAGGGAUGACAGAUGCAAAAGCAAGAAGGGCUUCUAGGUGAUAGGCUAGAAGGAAAACGUGGAGGCGUGGAGUUCCCUGGCAGCCUAGGAGCUAAGGUUCUGGCAUCACUGCUGGGGCGGUGGUGUAGGUUCGAUCCCUGGCCCAGGAACUUCUGCAUGCCAUGAGCCUGGCCGAAAAAUAAAAAAUAACGAGGGAAUGCAUGGGGCACCUAGUUUAUAGUUUAAAUUGGCUAGAAUUAAGGGUGCAUGAAAGGGUGUGAUGGGACUUGAACUCUGAAAGUGUCCUCAUCUGGGUACCCUCCAAAACUGAUGUCGAAUCAAAGAUUUAGGUGUAAGUUCUUUAUUUGAGAGGACGUCCCAGGAAGGACAGUCAGUGAAGGAGUUGGGAAGAGAGAGAGAAGGGAGGAAAACCAAUGAAAGGUGAGCAAGUUACCUUUCGGGUAACUGAUGCCCAACCCGCUGGGACCCUGAGAGACUAUGCAGGACACACCUUGACCCACAGAGUUUGGGACUUUUCCAAACUUAGGGGGCUGCUCCUGAAAGCUCUUGCCAACUCCAGCAUGUGUUGCAGGGGAGAGGCGGUGAAUGGGAGGCUGUGCAGCAGGGCAGAGGGAAGGGGAAGGUGGAUGGGAGGAGGUGGCCUGGGGAAAGAGUGUUGAAGAGUUUAAAUGGAUAGAAUUUAGCCACUGCUUGGAUGGGAGCAGAGCAAGGGAAAGAGAGGAGAUUAUUAAACAGACCCUGGAUCUCAGGUAGGAAUUGCAAACACCUCUAGGACAUGUCUUGUUCAGGAGGAAUCAAAAGAGGACUGCCACGCUGCAUAGACUGGAAACCUUUCCUGAGUUACGGAGCCGGGUUUCACCUAUGUUUGGUUUCCUUAAAAAAUUAUGGAGUUCCUGGAAUUCCCGUCAUGGUGCAGCAGAAACGAAUUCGACGAGGAACCAUGAGGUUGCAGGUUUGAUCCCUGGCCUCGCUCUGUGAGUUAAGGAUCUGGGGUUGCCAUGAGCUAUGGUGCAGGUCACAGAUGCGGCUCAGAUCCUGCGUUGCUGUGACUGUGGUGUAGGCCCGCAGCUGUAGCUCCAAUUUGACUCCUAGCCAGGAAACCUCCAUAUGCUGUGGGUAUGGCCCUAAAAAGCAAAAAAAAAAAAAAAAA